rnacentral:rRNA from 1 species
CCCUACGGGACGCAGCAGUGAGGAAUACUGGUCAAUGGGCGCGAGCCUGAACCAGCCAAGUCGCGUGAGGGAAGACGGUCCUAUGGAUUGUAAACCUCUUUUGUCGGGGAGCAAAAGACGCCACGUGUGGCGUUCCGAGAGCACCCGAAGAAAAAGCAUCGGCUAACUCCGUGCCAGCAGCCGCGGUAAUACGGAGGAUGCGAGCGUUAUCCGGAUUUAUUGGGUUUAAAGGGUGCGCAGGCGGAAGAUCAAGUCAGCGGUAAAAUUGAGAGGCUCAACCUCUUCGAGCCGUUGAAACUGGUUUU